rnacentral:rRNA from 1 species
GACGGAGGGUGCAAGCGUUAUCCGGAUUCACUGGGUUUAAAGGGUGCGUAGGCGGGUAUAUAAGUCAGUGGUGAAAGCUCCGGGCUUAACUUGGAAACUGCCAUUGAUACUGUAUAUCUUGAAUGUCGUAGAGGUUAGCGGAAUGUUGCAUGUAGCGGUGAAAUGCUUAGAUAUGUUACAGAACACCAAUUGCGAAGGCAGCUAACUAUGCGAUGAUUGACGCUGAGGCACGAAAGCGUGGGGAGCAAACAGG